rnacentral:rRNA from 1 species
GUGGGGAAUCUUCCGCAAUGGACGAAAGUCUGACGGAGCGACGCCGCGUGAGUGAAGAAGGCCUUCGGGUCGUAAAGCUCUGUCAUCAGGGACGAACGGCCGGUGGAGUGGAAAGCCACCGGAUUGACGGUACCUGAGAAGGAAGCCACGGCUAACUACGUGCCAGCAGCCGCGGUAAUACGUAGGUGGCAAGCGUUGUCCGGAAUUAUUGGGCGUAAAGCGCGCGCAGGUGGGAUCUUAAGUCCAUUUUUAAAGUUCGGAGCUCAACUCCGUGAUGGGAUGGAAACUGGGAUUCUUGAGUACCGGAGAGGAAAGCGGAAUUCCCCGUGUAGCGGUGAAAUGCGUAGAUAUGGGGAGGAACACCAGUGGCGAAGGCGGCUUUCUGGACGGUGUCUGACACUGAGGCGCGAAAGCCAGGGGAGCGAACGGGAUUAGAUACCCGGGUAGUCC